AUUGAACGCUGGCGGCAUGCCUUACACAUGCAAGUCGAACGGUAACAGGUCUUCGGAUGCUGACGAGUGGCGAACGGGUGAGUAAUACAUCGGAACGUGCCUAGUAGUGGGGGAUAACUACUCGAAAGAGUGGCUAAUACCGCAUGAGAUCUACGGAUGAAAACAGGGGAUCGCAAGACCUUGUGCUACUAGAGCGGCCGAUGGCAGAUUAGGUAGUUGGUGGGAUAAAAGCUUACCAAGCCGACGAUCUGUAGCUGGUCUGAGAGGACGAUCAGCCACACUGGGACUGAGACACGGCCCAGACUCCUACGGGAGGCAGCAGUGGGGAAUUUUGGACAAUGGGCGCAAGCCUGAUCCAGCAAUGCCGCGUGCAGGAUGAAGGCCUUCGGGUUGUAAACUGCUUUUGUACGGAACGAAAAGCCCCGGGUUAAUACCCUGGGGUCGUGACGGUACCGUAAGAAUAAGCACCGGCUAACUACGUGCCAGCCGCCGCGGUAA
rnacentral:rRNA from 1 species